rnacentral:rRNA from 1 species
GUGGGGAAUAUUGGACAAUGGGCGCAAGCCUGAUCCAGCAAUGCCGCGUGGGUGAAGAAGGUCUUCGGAUCGUAAAGCCCUUUCGACAGGGACGAUGAUGACGGUACCUGUAGAAGAAGCCCCGGCUAACUUCGUGCCAGCAGCCGCGGUAAUACGAAGGGGGCUAGCGUUACUCGGAAUUACUGGGCGUAAAGGGCGCGUAGGCGGCUCUGUUAGUCAGGCGUGAAAUUCCUGGGCUUAACCUGGGGACUGCGCUUGAGACUGCAGGGCUUGAGGCCGAGAGAGGGUGGUGGAAUUCCCAGUGUAGAGGUGAAAUUCGUAGAUAUUGGGAAGAACACCGGUGGCGAAGGCGACCACCUGGCUCGGUUCUGACGCUGAGGCGCGACAGCGUGGGGAGCAAACAGGAUUAGAAACCCUAGUAGUCC